AUAAACUGGUUGUCGGUUUUAUUAGGGGCUCCAAGAGUCACUUCCUUCAUAAGUUUCCAAUAACUGAAAUAGAGACGCUUCCUCCCAAAAUCCUACCGCUUCUUCUCCUCUUUUUCCUUUUCUCCAUCUCCAUUUGAGAGUUCCAUCCCAUUGUCCUUUCCUGCUCCAUGUUCGAAUUAUGUUUGCACACUUGAUUCUCUGGAAUUCAGGCUUUCAACGUUGCUCUCUACAAGUCUCGGUUCUCUCCUCAACAAUGAGGGACUAUCGAGGUCACUCUUGAAACUUUCAAUGGUUUAUUUAUACUUGAGCUUGAUUAGAGAGGGCCAACAGAGAUGUGGCCAAGGACUGAACAAGGGUUUAUAACGGUUACUCUUGAAACUCCAUGGGUUCAUUUAAACUUUGGAUUUUAUUGUUCACGUUGGAGGUCGAACUUGUACAGGAAGAGCUGGAGAAUUUAUUUAUGGUAUUUAGAGGCCUAAAUGACUUUGUGACUACUUUUAUAGCACCGGUUAAGAAUAAAAGUGAAAAUAGAUGCCCCUGUUACUGAGUUUCUUAGCAAUUCAUGUCUUUUGAGAUGACUUAGCUAGCUGUGUUAAAAUUUAUUUUAAUUUUGUUUUCCUGUUUUAGGUCUUCAAUGAAAGACAUAGGAGCUGCCAGGAACAAGUAGUUGUUAAAGAUAUUAGCUCCAUAAAACUAUUUUGACUUGUAUUUCGGCAAAGACGCUGGGACGAACUUUGGCCCACAUCAAGAUGUGAACUCCUUUGAAGUUAUUAGUUAAUACUUGCUACUAUGCUACUUUAUAGAUACUGCGGAUAGUAGAAGGCACUUUGGUAACCCUCUUAAUCCUUAAAAGUGGAAGUGAUGUAAUUAGGAACUUCAUGGGUCUACUUGUGGUGUUAGCUAUUCUGCAACUUCCAACAUAUAUACCUUCUGUUAAGCUCCUGAAAAAUCGAUCCCUCUUAUGCCUAUUCGGCCAUCUUUCUUUCUACGACCAGAAGGUAUGUCUGUUCAUAUCCUCAUCACUUCCUGGUUUUUAAGUUGUGUAUGUGCAUAUUCAUUUGAAAUGUUUUACUUAUAUUUCUUGAUCGUUUUUAUUGAAUAAUUGUUAACUUUACUGUGUUGUUUAGUAAUUUAACAACAACAUCUACAACGUACUUGGUAUAAUCCCAUCAGGUGGGGUAUAGGGAGAGUAGAAUGUAUGCAGACCUUACCCUUACAUUGAAAUGUAGAGAGGCUAUUUCUGAUAGACCCUCGGCUUAAGGUUUAUUUUCUUACGCAAAAGACUAGUACUUAGGUAAUGAACAUGUAUGACAGGCAAACCAAAAAGCCAAGAGCUUUUCCUGUUCUCCUGUAAGACUAAACACAUCGAUAUUCAGCCAUGUCAAUAGCUUAAAUUUUCUUCACUACUUUAUGAGAAUUAUAUUUGAGUUUUUUUUCCUGUAUUUUGAAUGAGUUUUGAUGUAAAGCAAGAGAAAUCUUGAUCCUUCCUUGACAUUUUUCAAUUUUUCUUCUUCCUUCUCACUUAUUGUAUGACUAUUGACGAGCAAAAAGGCUACUCGAGUUUGCACAGAAAAAUAAGCUGCAACAGUUUUGCUUCAACAAGUCCAUGAGAAAUUUCUAAACA